rnacentral:rRNA from 1 species
AUUGAACGCUGGCGGCAGGCCUAACACAUGCAAGUCGAGCGGAUGAAGGGAGCUUGCUCCUGGAUUCAGCGGCGGACGGGUGAGUAAUGCCUAGGAAUCUGCCUGGUAGUGGGGGAUAACGUCCGGAAACGGGCGCUAAUACCGCAUACGUCCUGAGGGAGAAAGUGGGGGAUCUUCGGACCUCACGCUAUCAGAUGAGCCUAGGUCGGAUUAGCUAGUUGGUGGGGUAAAGGCCUACCAAGGCGACGAUCCGUAACUGGUCUGAGAGGAUGAUCAAUCACACUGGAACUGAGACACGGUCCAGACUCCUACGAGAGGCAGCAGUGGGGAAUAUUGGACAAAGGGCGAAAGCCUGAUCCAGCCAUGCCGCGUGUGUGAAGAAGGUCUUCGGAUUGUAAAGCACUUUAAGUUGGGAGGAAGGGCAGUAAGUUAAUACCUUGCUGUUUUGACGUUACCAACAGAAUAAGCACCGGCUAACUUCGUG